rnacentral:rRNA from 1 species
GAUUAAUAAUUUUUAUUAAUUUUUUUUUGGUUAAAAUUUAUUAUACUAAAAGUAAUUUUAAAAAUUUUUGUUUAAGUAUUUUUUAAAGAAAUAAUAAUAAUAAUAAUAAUUAAUUAGUAUUGAAAAAGAAAAUUUGAAAUAUUUUUGAAAUAAAAAUAAAUAAAAAAGAAAAUUUAAAUUAUUGUACCUUGUGUAUCAGGGUUUAUCUAAUAAAAAAUAAUUAAUUAUUUUUCUCGAUUUUAAGAGAUUUAAAAAUUUAAAUUAGUUAAUGUGGUAUAAUUAUUAAUAAUAAAUUUUUAGAAAUGAAACGUUUUCGUUCUUAAAUAUAUCUAGUUUCUUAAGAAAUAAAUUAAAUUUAUAUAAUAAAAAUAUUAUUUUUUAAAUUAAAAAUUUAUAAAUUUUUAUUAUAAAUAAUUUAAGGGAUAAGCUUUAAAUUAAAUUAUUAAAAAUUUUAUAAUAAAAAAUAAAUAUAAGCUUAGAAUUAGUUAUUAUUAAUAAUUAUGUUAUAAUUUAUAAAAUUAUACAAAUAAGAUUUAUUAAAAUUUUAAAUUUUUUAUUAAGAUAUUAAUUUUAAUAAUAAUAAUUAAUUAAUAAUGAUAAAAUUAGUAUAUUUAAAUGUAUAAUUGAAUAAAAAAAAUAAGAUUUUAUUAAAUAAUUCGGCAAAAUUAAUAUUCACCUGUUUAUCAAAAACAUGUCUUUUUGAGUUAAAUAUAAAGUCUGACCUGCCCAUUGAAUUAAUUUUUUAAAGGCUGCGGUAUUUUGACCGUACAAAGGUAGCAUAAUCAUUAGUUUUUUAAUUGAAAACUUGUAUGAAUGGUUUAAUGAAAUAUUAGCUGUUUCAUUAAAAUAAAUAGAAAUUAAUUUUUUAGUAAAAAAGCUAAAAUGUAAUUAAAAGACGAGAAGACCCUAUAGAGUUUUAUAUAAAAUUAUUUAUAAAUUAAAAAGAAGAUUUUAAUUUUUAUUUAUUUUUGUAUUUUGUUGGGGUGACAAUAAAAUUUAAAAAUCUUUUAUUAUUUUAAAACAAUGAUUUUUGAAAAAUUGAUCCAUUAUUUAUGAUUAUAAGAUUAAAUUACCUUAGGGAUAACAGCGUAAUUUUUUUGUAGAGUUCUUAUCGAUAAAAAAUUUUGCGACCUCGAUGUUGGAUUAAGAUAAAUAUAUGGUGUAGAAGCUUUAUAAUUAGGUCUGUUCGACCUUUAAUAUCUUACAUGAUCUGAGUUCAAACCGGUUUAAGCCAGGUUGGUUUCUAUCUUUAAUAAAAUAAAUAUAUUUUAGUACGAAAGGACCAAAUAUAUAAAAUAUAAAUUUUAAAUUAAUGAAUAUUAUUAAAAAGUUAUU